rnacentral:misc_RNA from 1 species
UGGCCUCCACAUCUCCAAGAAAUCCAAGUUCCUGAUGGUAGGGAUGACUAUGUCCAGCUCGUCCUUCAAUGGAGGCGAAACAUGGGUCGCAGGCUGCGCCAUCGUGAGAGAGUGAGAAUUGAGAACUGCGGCGGGGGUGAGUGUAAGAUUGUAUGAUGAUUUAUUGGGUGACGCGUUGGGGUUGGGUGACGCGUUGGGGUUAGGCAACGAGGAAA